rnacentral:rRNA from 1 species
UAGGGAAUCUUCGGCAAUGGGGGGAACCCUGACCGAGCAACGCCGCGUGAGUGAAGAAGGUUUUCGGAUCGUAAAGCUCUGUUGUUAAGGAAGAACGAGUGUGAGAAUGGAAAGUUCAUACUGUGACGGUACUUAACCAGAAAGGGACGGCUAACUACGUGCCAGCAGCCGCGGUAAUACGUAGGUCCCGAGCGUUGCCCGGAUUUAUUGGGCGUAAAGCGAGCGCAGGCGGUUAGAUAAGUCUGAAGUUAAAGGCAGUGGCUCAACCAUUGUAGGCUUUGGAAACUGUUUAACUUGAGUGCAGAAGGGGAGAGUGGAAUUCCAUGUGUAGCGGUGAAAUGCGUAGAUAUAUGGAAGAACACCGGUGGCGAAAGCGGCUCUCUGGUCUGUAACUGACGCUGAGGCUCGAAAGCGUGGGGAGCGAACAGG